UAGGGAAUCUUCCGCAAUGGACGCAAGUCUGACGGAGCAACGCCGCGUGAGUGAAGAAGGAUUUCGGUUCUUAAAACUCUGUUGUUAGAGAAGAACAGCGCAUAGAGUAACUGUUAUGCGUGUGACGGUAUCUAACCAGAAAGCCACGGCUAACUACGUGCCAGCAGCCGCGGUAAUACGUAGGUGGCAAGCGUUGUCCGGAUUUAUUGGGCGUAAAGCGAGCGCAGGCGGUCAAUUAAGUCUGAUGUGAAAGCCCCCGGCUCAACCGGGGAGGGUCAUUGGAAACUGGUUGACUUGAGUGCAGAAGAGGAGAGUGGAAUUCCAUGUGUAGCGGUGAAAUGCGUAGAUAUAUGGAGGAACACCAGUGGCGAAGGCGACUCUCUGGUCUGUAACUGACGCUGAGGCUCGAAAGCGUGGGUAGCAAACAGG
rnacentral:rRNA from 1 species